UGGGUCUCCAGCUGUUUUGGGACUAUAAUUCCCAUCACCCCUUAAUUAGGGAUGGUGGGAGUUGUAGUCCCAAAACAGCCGGAGACCAA